rnacentral:rRNA from 2 species
CGGAAAUGGCGGCGUACUAUACAUGCAGUCGAGCGAAGAGAUGGGAGCUUGCUCCCUGAUCUUAGCGGCGGACGGGUGAGUAACACGUGGGCAACCUGCCCUGCAGACUGGGAUAACUCCGGGAAACCGGAGCUAAUACCGGGUAAUACAUCGCACCGCAUGGUGCAAUGUUGAAAGUUGGCUUUCUGAGCUAACACUGCAGGAUGGGCCCGCGGCGCAUUAGCUAGUUGGUAAGGUAAUGGCUUACCAAGGCGACGAUGCGUAGCCGACCUGAGAGGGUGAUCGGCCACACUGGGACUGAGACACGGCCCAGACUCCUACGGGAGGCAGCAGUAGGGAAUCUUCCGCAAUGGACGAAAGUCUGACGGAGCAACGCCGCGUGAGUGACGAAGGCCUUCGGGUCGUAAAGCUCUGUUGUUAGGGAAGAACAAGUACCGUUCGAAUAGGGCGGUACCUUGACGGUACCUAACCAGAAAGCCACGGCUAACUACGUGCCAGCAGCCGCGGUAAUACGUAGGUGGCAAGCGUUGUCCGGAAUUAUUGGGCGUAAAGCGCGCGCAGGCGGUCUUUUAAGUCUGAUGUGAAAGCCCACGGCUCAACCGUGGAGGGUCAUUGGAAACUGGAGGACUUGAGUGCAGAAGAGGAGAGUGGAAUUCCACGUGUAGCGGUGAAAUGCGUAGAUAUGUGGAGGAACACCAGUGGCGAAGGCGGCUCUCUGGUCUGUAACUGACGCUGAGGCGCGAAAGCGUGGGGAGCAAACAGGAUUAGAUACCCUGGUAGUCCACGCCGUAAACGAUGAGUGCUAGGUGUUGGGGGGUUCCACCCUCAGUGCUGAAGUUAACACAUUAAGCACUCCGCCUGGGGAGUACGACCGCAAGGUUGAAACUCAAAGGAAUUGACGGGGGCCCGCACAAGCAGUGGAGCAUGUGGUUUAAUUCGAAGCAACGCGAAGAACCUUACCAGUCUUGACAUCCUCUGACAAUCCUGGAGACAGGACGUUCCCCUUCGGGGGACAGAGUGACAGGUGUGCAUGGUUGUCGUC